rnacentral:rRNA from 1 species
CCUACGGGAGGCAGCAGUAGGGAAUAUUGGUCAAUGGGCGAGAGCCUGAACCAGCCAUGCCGCGUGCAGGAAGACGGCCUUCUGGGUUGUAAACUGCUUUUCUACAGGAAGAAAAAGGCUAUGCGUAGCCAAUUGCCGGUACUGUAGGAAUAAGCACCGGCUAACUCCGUGCCAGCAGCCGCGGUAAUACGGAGGGUGCAAGCGUUGUCCGGAUUUAUUGGGUUUAAAGGGUGCGUAGGCGGGUCUUUAAGUCAGUGGUGAAAGCCCAUAGCUCAACUAUGGAACUGCCAUUGAUACUGGGGACCUUGAAUUCAGUUGAGGUAGGCGGAAUUGAUGGUGUAGCGGUGAAAUGCAUAGAUACCAUCAGGAACACCGAUUGCGAAGGCAGCUUACUGGACUUGAAUUGACGCUGAGGCACGAAAGCGUGGGGAGCGAACAGG